rnacentral:rRNA from 1 species
CAGCCGCCGCGGGAAUACGUAGGUGGCAAGCGUUGUCCGGAAUUAUUGGGCGUAAAGGGCUCGCAAGCGGUUUCUUAAGUCUGAUGUGAAAGCCCCCGGCUCAACCGGGGAGGGUCAUUGGAAACUGGGAAACUUGAGUGCAGAAGAGGAGAGUGGAAUUCCACGUGUAGCGGUGAAAUGCGUAGAGAUGUGGAGGAACACCAGUGGCGAAGGCGACUCUCUGGUCUGUAACUGACGCUGAGGAGCGAAAGCGUGGGGAGCGAACAGGAUUAGAUACCCCCGUAGUCCCUGUCUCUUAUAC